UCCUUCAGCAAAAUGUAAGAGAAUCCCAUCGUUGCUUCUUCUCCACGCCUUCCCGGCAUUGCUUCUUCUUCUCCGAAUGAAAAUCUACCAUCUCCCUCUCAUUUUCUGGUCGAGCUGUUCAUAUUCCUUAGCACACCACAAAUAGCCGCUCUUCUCCACCUCUCAACCGUGAAAACAUCAUCGAAGCCUUCUCAUCUGUUUACUCAAACAUACUAGUCAUACAACUAAAGAAAUUUUCAAACUUUUUGCUGUCAAGUUUCAUUUCUAAAUAGAUGAAAAACCAAAAAAGAUUUUCACCUUCUUAUCUUAAGUUUUAUUAGCUUCAGAUUCAACCAAAGAAAAAAGGAAUUCCAAAAAAAAGAAAAUCCUUAGAUCUUUUUAUUAGAGUUUAUUUCGAGAGGAAGAAAUCUAAACAAAACCGGAGUUGCAAUGAGGUGCUCGUGUUUGACCAAGAGGUUCUAAUCUCGUUUAUAGUCCGAUCCACUGCUAAAUGGACCUGUGGUUUGGAAGUUUGCUGAUUUUGCUUUUCGAUUUGAGGAUCGUCGCGUCGAAUUCCCGUCGCAAUUGUCUCUUUGUGUCAAUCCGUUUAAUUGCUGGAAUUUUAGGGCUUAAAAUACCGCUUAACUAUCAGAUUUGGUCUAAAAAUGUCAUCAGCUACCUAUUGGGCCAAAUAUUCCCAUUAUUAAUGUUUUUGGCUAAAAAAUACCCAUUAUUAAUGUUUUUGGCUCAAAAAUACCCUUUGAGUUAACAGAGGACACGUGUCAUCCUCCUCUGUUUGCUCAUUCUAAAUAUUUCUUAAUUAAUUAAAAAGACACAUUAUUCAUACAUGAAAAAUAAUUUUCUAAAGCAAUUAAAAAGAGAAUUUUUUCCCAGUUUUUACAAAGAAAAAUAAAAAAAAUUCUAAAAUAUUUUUUUUUCUAAAAUACUUACAAAAAUUUAUUAAAAUAUCUGUUUUUUUUUUUUGUAAAAACUAGAAAAGAAAUCCUUUUUUUUCUUUUGUUUUUAGCCAAAAACUGUUUUAACCUUUUUCUAAAACUGGAUUUUAGAUAAAUGUAUUUUUUUUGUAAAAUCUGUUUUUUUAGAAAACUGGAUUUUUCUAAAAUCCAGUUUAAAAAAGCAGAUUCUAAAAACAAAUUUUUAGAAAAUCCAGUUUACAAACCAGUUUUCUAAAAAAACAGAUUUUACAAGAAAAAAAAUGCAAGUUUUAAAAAAAUCUAUUUAUACAAAAAAAAUCCUGUUUUUAAAAAAAAGUUUAAAACAGUUUUUUCAAAAAAGUUUUUAAAAAUCCAGUUUUUAGUAAAAACUAAAGAAAAAAAGGAUUUUUUUCCAUUUUUUUUUAAAAAUAGGUUUUUUAAUUAACUUUUGUAAGUAUUUUAUAAAAACAAUAUUUUAUUUUUUUUUAAUUACUUGGAAAAAAAUUCCAUUUUAAUUGCUUUAGAAAAUUAUUUUUCAUGUAUGAAUAAUGAGUCUUUUUAAUUAAUUAAAAAAUAUUUAGAAUAUGCCAACAGGAGAAUGACACGUGUCCCUCUGUUAACUCAAAAUGGAAGGGCAUAUUCAGCUCAAUAGGUGGAAAUGAGCCAACAGGAGGAUGACACAUGUCCCUCCGUUAACUUAAAGGGCAUUUUUGAGCCAAAAAUAUUAACAAAGGGUACUUUUCAGCGAAAAACAUUAACGGAUGGCAUAUUUUGCCCAAUAGAUGAAUGAAGGGGUUUAGACCAAAUCUGAUAGUUAACGGGCAUUUUAAGCCUUUUCCCGUUAAUUAAAAGAAGUUUCAGGUUCAAUUCUCUCCUAUCUCAUUCUAUUCUAGUGUCGAUCUUAAUAUUGUUUGUGUCCAAGUUAUGGUUUCUGCUGGAUUUGUGAUGGAAAUUAUUUUGAGUGAAAUCUUACUUGCAAUUAUUUUUGGGAUGGAGGGAUAUUUAUCUUGAUGGGAGGUUUUUGAAAUAUCAGGUUUAAUAUGCACCUUAAGAAGUUCAUGUAGAGAAAAUUAUUGAUGGUGUGGUUAUUCUGUUGUGUGAAUAAGUAUUGCUCUCUGAAAGUUUUUCAUUCUCUUUUAAAAUCAGUUGAGUCCUAGUAAUAUGCAAAUGCAUUCCUAAAAUUUGAAUUGUUCUUUUCCCUUAUAUCUGUGAUUCCCUUACUGGUUGCAAUUAGGAAUUUCUUUUCUGACUCAUGCAUAGAGAUUUCAUGUGUUCCUUUCUUUGUCAUGUAACUAAUUUCGUAUAUAAAAAAUUAUUGUAGUGGUGUUCUCUUUAAAAGCAAUAGUGAACAAGUUUUCAUUUCAUUAUGCAAGAAAUUUGAGGCUUUUCGUUAAUGCCAUUGUGUGGCGGUCCUUAAUCAAGUAUAAACAAGAAGAGGGGGAAAAGAAAAUACUUUAAGAAGUGGCAGUAGAAAAUACCCUCUGAUGGUCUAGGCAAAAAAUCAGGCAUUGCAAAUUGGCAAAAGUUGGUAAUGAUAUAUUACUAGUGUAUUAUGUUGAUAAACAAAAGAACCAAAAUAUCUUCAGCGCUUUAGGCGCGUUUAAAAUACAAUUGCAAUUGUGUAUAUAUUUGCGUGAUAUGAUUACGAUUCUAAAAAUCAAUUCAGAGUAUGCGUUCGCGCAACUUCGAUCAAACUUUCUUAAUAAUAAAUUUUUGCUAAUAGGCUCAUUUAGUUCAUAUAGCCCAAGGUGUGUCAUCCACGAUUUAAUCAUCUAUGACCCUCGUAUUAAUUUUAUAACCUAGAUAUAAUAAUGACAUGCUCGUAGUUGCUUUAGCCACGUUUAAUAUACCAUCGUGGUUGCGUACACAUUCGCGUGACAUAAUUACGAUCAUAAAAAUAAAAUCGGAGUAUGCAUUCGCACAACUUCAAUCAAAAAAUUUUUAAUAAUAAUAAAGCGUUAUUAAUUAUGAACACGUAUACGUGACAUGAUUUUUGACGCGCCAAACAAAUGGGUACACGUACGAGUGACAUGUGUCAAGAUCAUUUCUUAAUUGGAAGUGGCUAAUGCACAUAUGUUCUAAAAUUGAGUAAUUAAACAAUUUUAAUAAGCCAAGUAUGAUCAAAGCUACCGUGUUAAAAUCACGAAACUCGGGAGUGUCUAACACCUUCUCCUGGGUUAACAGAAUUCCUUACCCAGAUUUCUGUGUUAACAGACUGUAAAUAGAGUCAAUCUUUUCCUCGAUUCAGGAUUUAAACCGGUGACUUGGGACACCAUUAAUUAUCCCAAGUGGCGAUUCUGAAUCUUUAAUGUAAAUAAUCCCGCUUCGAUUGUCACUUAAAUUGUAAAAAAAAACUUCCUUAUAUACACCAUUCGCGGGGUGUAGUGUAAAAAUGAGGUGUGACAGCUCUGGCGACUCUGUUAGGGAUCUAAGAACCCAGAAUCUCUGGUUCAGGGUUCAAGAAUUCGAGCUUUUAAUGAUUUUUACUUGGCUUUACUUAUUGUUAAUAUUAUUGUAUUCUGUGAACCUUUUGUGCUACAUGCUAUUUGUUUCCUCGAUUCAGAAUUUGAACCGGUGACUUCGGACAUCAUUAAUUAUCCCAAGUGGCGACUCUAAAUCUUUAAUAUAAAUAAACAUGUUUCCAUUGUCACUUAAAUUGGAAAAAACUCCAUUAUAUACGCCAUUUGUGGGGUGUAGUAUAAAAAGGAGGUGUGACAGCUCUGGCGACUCUGCUGGGGAUCUAAGAACCCAAAUCUCUGGUUCAUGGUUCAAGAAUUCGAGCAUUUAAUGAUUUUUACUUGGCGCUGCUUAUUGUUAAUAUUACUAUAUUCUGUGAACCUUUUGUGCUGCAUGCUAUUUUUUUAUCGCUUUAACAUUGUUUGAAUUGUAUAUAACUGUCUUCUUACGCCACCCAUCUGAGUCUUCUAAAAUUUGGUGCACACGUACGCGUGACCCACUUUCUAUUAGAAGUCACACCAGAUAGAAUGAGGCUGGGCAAGCGACAAGGCCAGGUAGACUUCAUUGCUCCCGGUACCUCGCCCCUUCUUCAGCCUCAGUUGUCUGCUUGGGUGCCUCAAGUCUUGACCAAAACCUCAAGAUUUAAACCUAGAAGAACACAACCUCAUGUCGGAUCCCUAGUAGGAGCGCAUGUUUGCAUCAUGUGCAUUUGACUUAGGGAAAUCAAUACAGGGGUUGGGUCCGUCUAGGACAAGUGUACCCGAAAUCACAAACCAUCCUGAUGCAUCCUAUGUGCUACAUGUUGCAUUUCUUCAAGGUUAAAUGGGUCAUUUAGCGGACCAAUAACAGUUGAAGGCAAAUGAAAAGAAAGAAAAAAAGAAAAAAAGAGGGUGAAGUGCGAAAAUAAAGCAAGUAAGGCACAAUUAUGUUUUCCGUCACAUUUUUGAAAAAGAAAAGAAAAAAUGAAUGCACGUUCCCAUCAUUUUCCAAAAAUAAAGAAAAAAGAGGAAAAAAAUUCAAAAAUUUUUACAUGUUCCAUCUUUUUCAAGGAAAAGACAAAAAAUAUAUCUUUCUCUAAAUUAGUUUUUUUUUUAAUUUCUCGCCCGUAUCCAAUCGACCCUAACUAUGCAAACAUGAUUCUCGUCUUUCGGAGCGUGAUACGUAGGCAACCCACAUAGGGUCCGGUCUUCCUAGUGAAUCUUAGAUUCUUGGCUUUGCGGGAUCUUAGCCGAAUCUUGCACUUUUAGCCACAUAGGUGAAUUUCAGAAAAAUAAUCACAAUCACAUCGGAAGUGGUUGAUGGUUAGCUCAAAUUGGAAGCUGAAAAGGAUGAUGGGUUGAAUAACUGUGCCCCUUCUCUAAUAUAUGCAGUUUGGAGGCUCAUUCGUGGUGUUUCUUCAUCAAGAGAGUGUGCAAGGCAAGGAUUUGCAUUAGGAAUGACAAUAUUGGUUGGUAUAGUUCCAUGCAUACAAGUGGGUGCGCUAUUGAAGCUAAUUGUGGAAUUAUUGGAGAUCUCUUCUUCCAUGAAGGGUCAGGACAUAAAAGAUUGCUUAUUGGGACGUUUGUUUGCUUAUGGAGCUAUUGCAAGAUCAAGAAGAUUACUUUUAGAGUGGACUGCUGAUAAGGACACUCCAUAUGUUAAAGAGUUUGUUGGUUCUCUUAUCUCACUGCUAAUGAAUAAGCGUUACUUGCAAGAGCUUGUUGUCUUAAUUAUCUUGGAGUUGGUUGAGAAGUUACCUGUUGAAGCUUCAUUGAAUCAUAUACUUG
rnacentral:lncRNA from 1 species